UACGAAGGGGGGCUAGCGUUGCUCGGAAUCACUGGGCGUAAAGCGCACGUAGGCGGCUUCUUAAGUCAGGGGUGAAAUCCUGGAGCUCAACUCCAGAACUGCCUUUGAUACUGAGGAGCUUGAGUCCGGGAGAGGUGAGUGGAACUGCGAGUGUAGAGGUGAAAUUCGUAGAUAUUCGCAAGAACACCAGUGGCGAAGGCGGCUCACUGGCUCAUUACUGACGCUCAGGCGCGAUAGCGUGGGGAUCAAACAGG
rnacentral:rRNA from 1 species